GGUUCGUUGGUCUAGUGGCAUGAUUCUCGCUUAGGGUGCGAGAGGUCCCGGGUUCGACUCCCGGACGAGCCC
rfam:Strongylocentrotus purpuratus Contig2934_fixed, whole genome shotgun sequence.